UAUAACUGAAGUCUAUUAUUACAAAUGAAGUUACAUAUUCAAAUGUCAUAGUAUCAUAUUAUGAAAACACAUUCAAAAAUUCGUUGAAGGAGUGCAUAAGGCACAUGUUAAGGUCUCGUAACUUAGCUUGAGAUCCAUUUGAGGUAUGAAUUCCCAGUUCUAGAUAUAUAACUCUGGUGAUUCAAGUCCGUUGAGUGACUACGUUGUGCAACCUGCUCCCUACUCUUCAAAUAAGAAAGAAGAUUAAUGAAGAGACGAAGAACAUGGUUCCCAUCUCUGUAUUUCAAUUAUAGGUUGCUCCAAAUGUACUGAGCUGUACAUUUUUCCUCCCUCACAUCUCUCAUGUCUUCGUGUUCUCCUACGAUUCGACGUUUGAGUGCCUCCUCGAAUCCUCUCAAUGAUUUGCCUCACCACAUCCAACCACAUCUUUUACCGAUAGAUCCUGGCUCAUAAGGAAGAGUAAAUCACUGUUUUUGCCUAGUUUGAUGUUAUGCUUGUUCAUCCCAAAAAGAACGAAUUUGAUUGGUUGAAAGAGAUUAUAUAAAAAAAGGAAUAAAACACGUUGGUACGCUUGCAUAUUCUAAACAAAUUUUCCUCAGUAUUAUACUAAUCAUCAGCAAACCAACUUCCCCUUACUGCUCUCUCGCAUACGCCCAUCAUCAUCAUGCCGAAGGAAACGUACCUUUUUUGAUGGGUUUCUAACAACGGAGGUGCUGAUGUGUGGAAUUAUGAUUUGGAAAAUAAAAGUAUAUCUUGCCGUUUUUGCAGUUUCUCGUGCCCAUCUCGUUCUUUAUGGCAAGUAUCCCGCCACUCCAUAACCUCCGAUCACAUCAACAAGUUAAAAGUCUUCAAGAAACACAAGAUUCAAGGAGACGAAGGAGAAUUAAACGGUUCAUCAUUCAAUUUGGAUGUAGCAAAGUUAUUUGUGUAAUGUAACAUCCCUUUAAAUGUUCUGGAUCAUCCCAAAGAGAGUAUUUACUGCUUCGUACGCAAUUCCCCUCCCUCCAUCACCAAUUAUAACAAGAUAGGGAACUUGGAUAAAAGCAGUGGAGUACUACUACAAUCACUUUGAGAGAAUAUUUAAACAACCUUGAUGGUGAUUUGUCAGCAACCAGAAGAGCACUAGAAGUGAUUAAUAAUGAUUCCUAUAGAGAAGAAGUCGUAUUGAUACAGUAAAAUUUUCGUCAAAUACCUUUGGCAAUAACUGCGCUUGAGGAAAAAUUGCCUCUUCUUACCAGCCUAACCAUAGUAGAAAAUUUGCCUCAAGAUUUGAAGGAAGAUCCAUUUAAGAUCAACUUAAAAGAAGUGCUUCAAAAGAAUCCUGGCUACACAAAACUAAAAGAACUCUCAACAAGUGACAACUUUGUAUACAAAAAGUUGUAGUUGUGAUGCUGAGAGAGUCUUUAGUAUGAUAAAUAUCAUCAAUACGAAAAGGAGGUCCAAACUAAGUACUAAGAAAUUGAGGGAAUUGUUGAUCACCCAAUUGGAAUGAAUGUUUCGUUAUCAUUUAAUUGUCAACACAUUUUGUGCCAAAGUUAUCUAUUCAUCCUUUGUGGUCAGUGGUCACAAAGAAGUUACGAGUACACUUCCUCUAAUGAUGUUCCCUAACUGACAAUAUAUUUUGUCUUGCAUAAAUUUACAGAAUAAAAUAUACAUUUAUAAAGGUA
rnacentral:lncRNA from 1 species